AGAAUCAACGCUGGCGGCGUGCCUAACACAUGCAAGUCGAACGAGAAAGUGGAGCAAUCCAUGAGUAAAGUGGCGACCGGGUGAGUAACACGUGACUAACCUACCUUCGAGGUGGGGGAUAACCUCGGGAAACCGAGGCUAAUACCGCAUAACAUCGCAAGAUCAAAGCAGCAAUGCGCUGGAAGGAGGGGGUCGCGGCUGAUUAGCUAGUUGGCGGGGUAACGCCCACCAAGGCGAAGAUCGGUA
rnacentral:rRNA from 1 species